rnacentral:rRNA from 1 species
UACGUAGGGUGCAAGCGUUAAUCGGAAUUACUAGGCGUAAAGCGUGCGCAGGCGGUUAUGUAAGACAGUUGUGAAAUCCCCGGGCUCAACCUGGGAACUGCAUCUGUGACUGCAUAGCUAGAGUACGGUAGAGGGGGAUGGAAUUCCGCGUGUAGCAGUGAAAUGCGUAGAUAUGCGGAGGAACACCGAUGGCGAAGGCAAUCCCCUGGACCUGUACUGACGCUCAUGCACGAAAGCGUGGGGAGCAAACAGG